rnacentral:lncRNA from 1 species
UCUUCUCCCCCUGACCGUCAUGGUUCUACAUCCAUGAAUUCCAAGGCAAAAAACCCUACAGAUGCAUUAGACCGGACUACCCCAAAAGCAAGCAAAACUGGUAUAGGUAUCUGCUAAUCUCCAUGAAAACCUUCCCCAUCCCGAAUUUGUUGAUCUAGGGUAAAAAAAAACUAGGGGUCAAAACACACACUAGUUGCUUUUUGGUUUUGCCAGGACACAAAAUUAGGACAAAUUUAAGACCAUAUCACUAACCCCAGAACUGUAAAUCUGGGCCAGGAGGGAGGUCAUGCUUCAGGGAGGAAAAGGCCUGUAACAGCAAAAGAAAAUUUCAGAAAAGCAAAAGCAAAUGCACACUAAGCUAUUUAGUUGUUGAGUUUGUAGAUGGACGCAAGGUUACCUGAGACAACACAACUGUGACAGCACAACACUAAGCUAGACACGGUACCAAAACACACUAAACAUGCUGUAGCAAAAUGCAAAACAUCCAUGGUUGUAGUUGCAAAAGUUGCUUUGUUGUUUCCCCCAAACACUAGGCAUGAUGUUGCUGCUUGCUGCAUUGCAGAUAUUACUUUCCCCUCCAUCUGAUCUCCAUCAUCUGAUCCUCUGUGCAUGUUCACAAACCUACCAAACUGCAUCUGUAAAUGAACCCAUCACCUGCAUUUUUACACAUCUGUACACAUAAAGGCCCUCCUUGCUGAGAAACACCUGUAGAGAUCAAAGCACAUUAGUGGGGGUUAUGAGUUGUGACUUGCAAGAAAACAGAAGUAAGGACAUAAGUAAUGGACAAUUUAAUGCGAGAAAGGGGACAAGUUGCUGGUUCUUGUGUUGCUGCAAAAAUAAAUGUACAAAUAGUUGCUGGGUUCAGUUGUACGAGUUUAUUGGUUGUUUUCGUAUUUCUAUUUUGUUGCAGAUGGACGAAUAUGACUUAGAAGUGACCUAUCGGUCUCAAUGUUGACGUUGGGACUGAAGAAGGAACUUGACUUAAAAGUGACCUAUCGAUCUCAUUGUUGACGCUGGGACUGAAGAAGGGUUUGCAACAUCGUUAUUCCCAUUCUACUGCACCCAAAAACUGCCUAACACGGAUGCCUAACAGCAUGAGGGCGAGGCGCGGUUGAGGGAUGUGAUCAACCUAAAUGAAUUGCCUAUCAAUCUCAAUGUUGAAGCCGCGGUAGAGGGGUUGGGGACAUCUUUAUUCCCAUUGCAUUGUACAGAUUAGGGCAAACGACAGUGCAAACUUCCAUGAGCCUAAUGUUGCUGAGUCCCAAAAUAAUGAUGGGCAUAAUGUGCACUUGGGAUCUGACACGCUGAACCAGAAACAACCACAUUGAACCAAGAAUCAGCUUUGCAUGGUGAUAGGCAUGGUGUUGAGCAAGAGCCGGAAGAUAAGGCACUGUCGCAGCCGCAGGAGCCAUUCUUGGGGAUGAGAUUCGACACUUUGACGUGUGCAAGAAACCACUACAAUGCAUAAGGCGUGGCUGAUUUCAAUUAGUGUGUGGACUUCAGUAUGACUCCUGAAUAAUUUGAGGCAACUUGGACGCACGAUGGCUAAAUGUAGAUAGGGUGUUGCUGGAAACAAACAUGCUGCACACACACAUAACUGACGUAUAUGUGUGAGCAAUUAUGUUGACAAGAAAAGUGACAACCUAAAAAUGAUUGGGUGGUGGUGGUGGUGGUGUGGGGGGGGGGGGGGGUUCUGAAAAACCUUUAGAAAGCAGGUAUAUGAUCAUAAGAAAACCAGAUGCAACUUAUAAAGGCAUUGUGUGAGCUAAAUAAAAAGCAACUAAGUCAGUUAGGUUGGGGAAAACAAGAUAUAUGUGUGUGUGCAAUUAUAUUGGCCAGAAAAAGUGACAACCAGAAAAGUGAACUUGUAGUUAAGCAACUAAUUAGGGGAGGAAGCAAGUAAAUGAUCAUAAGCAAAACCAGAUGCAACUUAUAAAGGCAGUGUGUGAGCGAGUAAAGUAAAUAAAAAGCAACUACGUCAGUUAGGUUGGCGAGAAACAAGGUAUAUAUGCGUGUUUAAUUAUAUUGGCCAGAAAAGAGACAACCUGAAAAUCUGAACUUAUAGCUAAGCAACUAAUUAGGGAGGGGGCAACUAGAUAAUCGUAAGUAGAAAGCGACUUAUAAGACAGGUGUGAGUGACUAGGUAAAUAAAAAGCAACUACAUUAGCUAAGUUGGGGAGAACAACAAGGGGUGUAUAUGGGUGACCAUUUAUAUUGGCAAGAAAAACGACACCUUAAAAAAAUUCUAAAAUACAUAGCCAAGCAACUUAUUAGGUAGGGUAAAAAGAAUUCUGAAAAAACACCUAAAGUUGCACACACAUAGAUGGGAUUCUGCGAGAGGCAGCUAAAUGAUUGUAAAAGAACAACUAAUAAGGCGAUCUGUGAUCGACUAAGUAAAUAAAAAACAAAUUAGCUAAGUUGGGAGGAGAGCAAAAAGGGGUGUACGUGUGUGAGCAAUUAUGUUGACAAGAAAAGAGACAACCUAAAAAAUCUGAACAUAUAGCUAAGCAACUAAUUAGGGAGGGGAAAGGUUUCUGAAAGACACCUAAAGUUGCACACACGUAGAUGAAUUAUGCAAGGACAAGUAAAUUUUUAAAAAAGCAACUAAUAAGAAGUGCAAGAGACUAAAUAAAAAUAAAGGCAAUUUGGGCUACACCUAAAGUUUGCCUAAGCUCUCAACAAAAUUUGCAAUCUUGUCUGAAAUUCUUGUGCACAAUUCUCCAAUCAUAAUUGCUAAUUUCCUCUUGUUCCGUGGAUUUUAAAAACAGCAGAGAAGGGGUAAAUUAAAUAGGACAAUCUAUGAACAAGAAAAUGAAAAUUUGCCAUACAAUAAAUGCAAAAGGCAAAAAAUGGAGGCUGAUUGGUGCAGGGCACAUACCGUUUUGUUGUAGGAAACCGACAACUUUGAAGAAACAAAAUUUUUGGCCUGUUGUAAACCCAUGAACAAGUUACCUUCAGCUGGCAACUCAACAUUUAGGACAACAUUUGUUGCAGUUCUUGGUGCAACUCUAAGUUGUUGGCACAUUCAAAUAGCACCAAAAGACACAGUUAGCUUCCAGGGGUUGAAAAAAAGCACAAGCGGAUAGAUUAGCCUCUGGAUUGCAGAAUGUGCUGAGAAUGCAACUUUAGAAUAACUUACAUGCAAAUUCCCAUAAACUCCGGGUCCUUCCGUAUCUUGUUGGAUCACUUUAUUUAUGGCUUGUGUCAUCCAUGUCUGGAUACGCACAGGGCAGUUGCUCAAGGGCUCGUCGGUGACCAGUGAGUCGAGAUACUAGUUCUGCAUAUGAGUUUUAAGUUGGGUUUAGGUUCAGUUAUGCCAUGAAAAUGAAAAGAAAAGAAAACUACAAGGACACUAGAGAAGCUUAUGGAUCAAAAGCUCACCAAUAGGUUAUAUACACAACAACAGACCGAGUUCUUUUCGUUGCCCAACUUCUUGCAGACUUCUUGCAGUUGAUCAACAACAAAUUGACAGAAAUUUAAGUUGCCAGUAGCAUCCAAAUUUCUGAAGGACGGGUAGCACCGUGGACUGACAUUCAGGCCUGUGGUUAGGCAAAAGAAAGCAGGUCAUCGCUGCGAUCAACCAAGCCCUGAGAAAUUUGUCGCCAGCUUUCCCUCCCAUGUUGCCAAUCAUUUUGCACCAGGCCGUAGUCUUAGAAGGCAGAAAUAGUAACCCGCCAAAAUGCCUUUUGUUGAUCAAUUUCUUCUGUUCAGGUGAUAGAUCUUCAUUAAGUUUGUGGAGCCUAGCAGGAGACACCCUGUUCCGCCCAACCUAGGUAAUUGCCAAAAAGAAUAACAAAAACGUUAUAUCCAAAAAAAAGUAACAAUAAUUGUCCCAAAAAAAUGUGUUAGCAGCUUCAAAAUCUAAAAAUGUUUGGACAAUGCUUUGUGCCAAAAAAAGAGCUUGAAAGCAAAUGUCGUGUUACCUCUUUCUCUGUCCUUCUAGGGCGUAUGCGUUUAGCAACCUGCAAAUCUCCAAUCUCCUUUGCAACCUCUUUAGAAGCCUCAGCGAUUGUUGUCUCAGUAGAAGCAUCCGCGACAUUAAUCCCACCAGCAGCCUGCAUGUAAGAAAGAAAGCACGUUGAGAAUUGGGGUGGGGGGGGGGGGGAGCAUAUUUGCAUGUGAACUAGUUGAAUUGAUUAAGCAUCGGAAGCUGUUGUGCCUGAGGUAUGUUGUCAACAACUCUUCUUGUGCCAUCGUUUACAUUGUGUCUCCUGCGGCGAUGAAUUAAACCCCCAGUUUUAGAAUAUUCAGGUCCUUCCUCAAUUGUGUUCAUUUUAGCUCCUGCUAAUAAAAAGGAACUCACAUAAUGAGUGUCCAAAACACAAGCAAAAAACAAAUGUUGUGCUAAAUUAAAUGGAAAAGGCAGUUCAUGCCUCAACAUCCUAUAUAACUUGCAUUCUAUACAGAUUUUACUAAAACAUAAUGAAAAUUAACUACUGUGUCAAAAACGUUUGCCUAAGAGUAAAUACAUCUUAACACAAAUCUGGAAGAAGCAACUUAUGCAAAAAAUUGAGUUCUAUAUUCUAAUCCCUAAGAACAAAAAUCCUAGAUGUGCAUCAAAGUUUGCCUACCCAUUAAUGCAUCCCUGGCAAAAAAAAGCAAUUGCUAAAACUCCAGCCCGAACCGUUUUGAACAAGUUAAAAAGCAACUAAAAUUUAUCCUAUGCUGUUACAUCACAAGUAGGAAAAUCAACUAAACUUAUGUUGUCGAACUACAAUUUGCCUUAUUCAAUUGACUUCUUCUCCUAUUAAAAGCAAAAAUGAACUACCAGAUUUGCCUAAAAAAUUGAUGAAAGUAAGAACAGUAAAAGCAACUCCUGACCUGCAGAAAUUAAGAACAGUAAACCCAGCGCAACUAUGAUAGGUAGAUUUCUUCCAUUAGAUUUCAUCCAUUCAAAAUUUGCCUAAACAGCUAGUCCUGAUGCAAAGUUCUAAAACAAAUUGCAUGCAUUCCCUUGAGGCAAAAAACCCUAGAAUGCCAAACCUUUGGCACAACGUGGAGCAGAAAACACAUAUGUGAGACAUGAAUAUGUUAGGACUACAACAAAACAAAGGCAACAAACCCUAGAACACGGAAUCAACCUAAAAAUUGCUGCUAGAAACAUCAAAUCAAAAGCCAAAACGCUCAGGGUGAGGCUGUGCGGGGUUAGCACUAGAAGGAGCGCUAGAAAUCUAUGCAACAUUAGGCAACAUUUGGGGUUGAUGCACAACUGCGUGUUCGGGGGUUUGGGGGUACAGGUGGGGGGAUCAUCGAGGGCGAGUAGAGAUGGACGGAGGGGAGAUCUAACCGCUCAAAAGUCGCAGCGGAAGAUGAUGAAUGCGCCCGCCGUGGUGGACGCAUCCCCGCCGUGCUCAAUGCGGCCACGGUGGUGGAUGUACCCGCCGGGGACGUUGCGGCUAGCAACUCCGGAUUUCAGCAAUGGGGUCGGCUUCCUGUAGCCCUCAGCGACUCCACAGAAGACAUGCACGAGCCCCCGAGCACCAAAUCGCCCCCGCCGGUAAAAUCUCGCCCCGCGCAAAAUCAACCAGAGACCGAAAAAAAGCCCUCAACGCACAGCCCCCUCACGAAACUCCACACCGAUGCCGGCUCCGCCCCUCGCGAAACUGCCGACGGCCGCGCUGCUGUUUCGCUGCGCCUCGCCGACACCAAGCUCGCCAGAAUCGCGAGGGGAAAGAGGGGGCGCGGUCGACUUUCGCGAGGGGAGAAAUGGGGACGGGGAAAUAGGAAGAGACAAGCGGUGUGUUUCCCCAGCUUUGAAAAGACAUGGCUUGAAUGUCGCUGCCAUGUGGGGGCCACCCACCCGACAGCACGAGGCCCUGUCUUAACUGGAUCGCAUGGCACGGCCGGUCCAGGUAGAAUUGGAAAGCGCAGAGACUGGGCGCCCGCUUCAAUCGAAAACUGCAUUAGCACUUUCAAGCAAUUGGGAAAUCCAAAAUAGUUUGUUGCAGGGACGCCCAUAACCACCUUUGGGGAGCUCAUCCCGAGUUCUGUCACCGAAACAGGUUAGGCCGUCAGGGAAAUCACCAUCAGUGCUUGCGAUAUUCUCAUCAGAUCGCUGGGCAUUUCGCUUGAAUAUCUCGUAGCAUCUCGCUGCCUCCUCCUUGUCCUUGUAAGUACGAUUGUACUUGUUCGUCCACUAGAUCAUGAUGGCGCGCGUUGCUGCGCCCAUCAAUUUUUGACAAUACAAUGACAGGAAAGACACUAAUAUUUAGAGAUGUCACGACUGUUCAUCUUUCAGAAAGCUUUGUCAAUUUACGGAGACGCGAGAUAUGAAAGUUUUUUCUAUAUUAGAUAUGGUAGUUAUAUCUACACAAACUAACACAUAUCCUAGACAAUUACCGAAAAGAGGUUUUGAGUAUGUUUUUGCUAGUUUAUUAGUACCUCAACUUUUGGACUUCAGGUGUGUGUGUGAUUUUAGUGGAGGCGGGUUGCUGAGUAUGUAAGUAGUUCGAGUGAUCGAUUGGAUUCCAUAGCAGUACUCGACUACAUCUCGACCCAGGUUGGUCCAGGCGAGGCCUAAUGUACCAAGAGGCUUCAUUUUUUCUCAUCUACUCGAAGACCCACGAAAGGACGACAUGAUUUUGCCUGACAAUAUGAUCGAACAGUCACAUACGCUGGGGGCAUGAGAGGGCUGGAAGACUGCGCGCAUUGCCGCUCCCAUUUGUUUUUUUUUCUCGAACACGCCGAGCAGCGUGUCUUUUCCAUUAAGAAGAAGGCGCAAGAAGCGCAAGUACAGGCAACAACAAAAACCCCAAGAGGGGCCAAAAGGAAAACAAAGAAAACAGAAAAAGAAGAAACGAAGAAGAAGAAGAAAAACGCCUAAGGCAACUAUACAAGGAGAGGGUGAAAGAUCGGUAUGGUCGACUAGAGGGGGGGGGGGGGGAAUAGAAUACUAACAAAUUUUAAUUUUAAUUUUGACUUUUAUGGGAUACAAGCAUCAAUACAUGGGUUCACUAAAACGUCUAAAUGAUGAACACCCAUAGUAUGAUGCAAUAGCCGAAGCACGAGCACAAGCAAUAGAUAAUCAAUUGAAAUUUGCUUGAUAGACGAAGCACAAGAUAAACAAUUAAGCUUUGCGAGUAAGUAAAGGGGCAAGAAUGAUACCACACGGGGAGACGAAGAUUUCACCGGAGUUCCACCUAUUGGGGUCGGUGUGUACGUCUCCGUUUGGAGGAGUGCUCUACCACAAAGGUAGAUGCGCCACAAAGGCUCACUCAAUUCUCCAACUCACCACACCACAAAGGUGGGAUGAGCUCUCACAACACCACAAAGAUGAGGUAAGUUCCACUAGUGGCUUCCUUGAGGGCGAACGUCGAACCCUUACAAACAAGAAGAAGGGCACAACUCCACAAGUUAAUUGGAGGCUCCUUUCCGAAUCCUCAAGCACCUCCUCACAAGAAUGGAGGCCUUGAAGAGACACCUUCCGGUUAGGGAUCCCAAAAUCCCAAGGGUAACAAAAUCCACAAAUAAAACAAGGGAAAUAAACUUUUUAACUUGGUGAAACCCUAGAUCUUGAUCUUCUCCUCCAAUCCUCAAAACAUGAAUCAAAGGGGGGGGGGGGGGGCUAGAGAGGGAGAUCAAGGGAAAUUAAGCUCUUGUGUUCUUGGGGUGAGAGAGGGGCUGUUCUUGGCUGUGCUUAGGUCCAUAAACCCGUUGGGGACGAAGCCCCUUUAAGUGGCCUCGAAAUCUGACCGUUAUGUGUAUUUCGCGCAGUGACGGGUGGAAGUUCCGGUUGCACCCCUGCAAGCUCCGGUUAGCUGGAAGUUCUGGCGAUCAGGAGGAAGUUCCGCAUAUUCCAGUCAGGGUAACAGAGAGCACCCGGAGGUUCACCCGGAGGUUGGGCCGGAAGUUCUGGUGCCUGGAGAGUUGGGUGCACUGGAAAUGAUUUUCUGAAAUGUCUGUACUCUCUCUCACUUUGGGUAGACUUUAUGUGGGUGCAAAUAUGGUAGAUUUGUGUACGUGAAGUUGAUUCACCCAUUACCUUCCCAUGUGGACUCCCUCUUUAUAGUACGGAGUUCCUACGACUCAAUAUAAUUAAAAGCCGCUAAACACCGCUAUACUUCUUUCCUUUUUGAGGGCAACGAACCGUCUUGUGCCAUUUGAUCUCAAAUUUGAAACACUCGAACCCACGGUUAGUCCAUGUGUAAUCUUGUCAUUAACACCAAAACACUUAGGGAGGAAAUGCCCUUUCAGAGGGAGAGACCCAACAUCGGGGGGACGAGCAUGAAGAGGGAGACAGCCAAGCUGGCUAAGGCCACGCGCACCGGCGGGACGCCACAAGUCCGCCUCCGCUAAGAUGUCUUCGACAAGCCAAGCAACCGUCGGGUUGGCCCCCUUAAAGAUGCAGGCAUUCCGAAGCUUCCAAAUCCACCAGAGGGAGAGGUUGAUGAGCGACCGAACAGCCUACACCUUGCCUUGGAGCCGUCUAGCCCCGGCCGAGAGCCACUCAACAAGGUCCUCCGAGGGGAGUGGGAGACAACAAAGAGCCCCAGGCCUGGACAACACCUCGUGAAGAACCGACUUCGUGAAGGCAUAGUCCAUGAGAAGAUGAGUCAUGGUUUCUGGCGCCUGAUCACACAACGGGCAGCGCGCGUUGAAGGGGAGAUGUCGGCGUUCCAGCCGGUCCGCCGUCCAGCAGCGGUUGGCACAUGCAAGCCAAAGCCAAAUCUGGCAUUUCAACGGUGUCCAACAGCGCCAAAUGUGCGACCAAGGUGGGAAAGUCGGGCGUUCCUCAAAGAAAUGAAGGUAUGCCGAUUUGGCGGAGUAGACACCAGAGGACGACCAUCUCCAGGGGAGAACAUCCUCCUGGCCCGGAAUAAGAACCACGGCCUCCAAGGUGCCCACGAGCUGAAGAAAUUCGACCAUGCCUUGGGCAUUCAGGGGACACGAGAUGUCCCUAAUCCAAGCACUCCCAGCAAGAGCAUCCGCAACAGAACAAGUACGGGUGAUCCUCCGGCCAACGGCCGCGAAGACAACCGGAGCAAGAAACUCAACUGAUUUCCCAUCCAUCCAGUUAUCCGACCAGAACAGUGUGGAGCGACCAUUUCUGACAACCGAAUAGCAAGCCUCACGAAAUAGAGCAAGAAUCCGUGAACUGAAACGGAUGCGAAAGGAGGCCCAAGGUUUCUCGACCUCAGAGCGCUGUAACCAAGGCCAACAAAGCUGAAGGGCGGUACUCACCAGAUUGGCGUCCCUCACCCCCAGACCCCGCAAACGGAUCGGGAGGCAAACCUUGGCCCAAGCCACGGCACAGUGACCCCGCUGGGCAUCCGUCCAACCUUUCCAAAAAAAGCUCCGCUGCUUCUUAUUAAUGGCAUCGCCAAACCAACUGGGCGUGUCAAUGGCCAAGAGAGUGUGCACCGGAAUAGCCGAAAGGACCGACUUGACAAGGACAAGCCGACCCCCUCUCGACAGCAUCCCAGCAUGCCAACCCGCCAACUUACGAUCAAUCUUGUCCAAGAUGUGCUGAAAGUCUUGGCGACAGAGCUUGGAGAUGGAGAGAGGAGCUCCCAAAUAGAGGAUGGGGAACUCAUGCACAGGGCAAGCAAGAUAAUGAAGAACGACCUGAGUCUCCUCGGUGGAGCAGCAAAUCGGGGUGGCCGAGCUUUUUAGGAUGUUCGUACGGAGUCCCGAAGCUUUUCCAAAAAGCUCAAGAAGGUCCAACAAGAUGGUGCAGUCCUCAACCUUGGGCUUGAUGAAAACGACCAUGUCAUCGGCAUAGAAAGAAGCCUGACAACCCGGGGGGACCCCCCGAAAUUGGGAAAGAAGCCGCUCGCGCGACGCCGCAAGGAAGACGCUGUUGAAGGCAUCCAUCACCACAACAAAAAGCAUCGAAAACAGAGGGUCGCCUUGACGCAGGCCUCGACGAUGCACAACCUCACGGCUUAGACGACCAUUAAUGAUAAUCUGAGUGCUUGAGGUGGAAAGCAACAAAUAGAUCAAGUCGCACCACAUACGACCAAAGCCAAGAUGCCGAAGGAGAUCCAGCAAAAAGGCCCAAGAAACGGAGUCAAAAGCCCGUGCAAUGUCCAACUUAAAAAGCACCGCAGGCUGUCGAGAGAUGUGCAACGACCUCGCCAAUUGCUUCACCAACAUGAAGUUGUCAUGAAUGGCACGACCACGAAUGAAGGCGCACUGGUUGGGAGAGACCAAGGACGGCAGAAGAGGUGCUAGGCGAAGAGACAACACCUUGGGUACCAAUUUGGCAAUGCCAUGGACAAAGCUAAUGGGCCUGAAGUCCCGAACCUCCGUAUGACAGUUCUUCUUGGGGAUGAGAGAGAGGAGCGCACGGUUAAGGUUGUGGAAGCCUGCGCGCCCACCCCGAUGGAGCCAUCGGAAGAGCUCGACCACAUCGUCCUUGAUAAUGGGCCAACAGGAGGAGAAGAAUAGGCCGGUGAAGCCGUCGGGGCCGGGGGCGCGGUUACGAGGCAUGGCCCUGAUGGCAGCCCAAAUCUCCUCCUCCGAGAAAGGUUCCUCCAAAACACUCAAAUCCAGACGUGGAACUUGAAGGAACUCAAAAUCUAGAGUGCACGACCUCUCCUCGGGGGAGUCCAAGACUUCCUCAAAAAAAGGAAGUGAUCGCCUCCUCAAGGCGAUCCUGAUCGACCAAAUCCUGACCCGCAUGAUGGAGUUGCGCAAUAAAAUUGUGCCUCCGACGAGCACCCUCGUGGAAAUGGAAAUAGCUGGUGUUAGCAUCACCAUCUCCCAAUUGUCAUAUAGAAAGAACAUAGAAACAUUCAAACAUUUUUGUUUAUUAAAAUUUCAAAAGUUGGAAUAUACACUGCCUUAAUCCAGGUGACCUGGUAUAUCCACUCAGGUAUAUUAUCUCCUUUUUUACAUUUCUGUCACAUUCAUGAGAAGACAUAAAAUUGGAUAUAUUGAUUCUUGUAAACUUUACUUCAAAUCGACAAUGGAACUUUUUGCUAAAUGCAUUUAAAUAUAAUGAAAUUCUACUUCACAUGUGCUGUGAAGAGUGUAUCCUUUCAAGCAAGUAGGAACUUUUUGCGCAAUGAUGCAUCAAGAUGGCAACAAUCAAUAUAUAAGUGAGAUUUCCGCGUCAAAAAAGAUAUAAGUGAGAUUCUCUAUCAUGUCUAUCCAUUUCACAAGCAAAAAAAUCUAAUCAAUAUCAAUCAAACCCCCCUCAUUUGACACCAAUAGAACUACAAGAUUGAGAGGACACUAACCUGCACAAACAGAACCCAGCAAACAGAGUUUAAAAUGAAAAGAAAAAUUGAACAUAUACAAUGCAUAUAUUCUUAUAAACCUUGCAUAUAUGCUUAGGAAACAAAAAAACAUAGAGAAAGCUGUAGAAAACACACAAAUGGGCACAAAUAUAGCAUUGGGAUUUCAUCAAGCCUGUCAUAGAUCUGUCCCAGUUUUGCAUGCCGCUUGAAACACACCUAGCUUAUGAGCCUAUAGAAAGUGGGGCCCUUAUAAAGUUGACACUGGAGUAAUUUACCUAAAAACACUUACUAUACUUGUUCAGAAAAAAUACUGAUAAAUGUGGCUUUCAUCAAAUCAGCAAAGUUGCUCCAGUCAUAAAAUUGUUGCACAUCAUCUCAACCCGAUGUGAAGAAAUAAGUUUUUCAACGCCAAAAUCAGAUCAUGGGGCUUGAACUCGAUACGCUUGUUGACAUAUGCAUGCAAAGGUACUUUGUCCACUUCAAAAGGUGGGAAACUUAAAUUACAUCAUUGGAUGUUUCAAGAAGUGUUGAAUCGAUCGCUUCCUUUAAUGACACAAAUAAAAAGGAAUGAGAAAGAUUAUAACUCCCCACCAAGGAAGCAGGUUUAGUUCAAUGUAAAGAUUUACCUUUCAAUGUCUUAUCUGGAGAAAGCAGUCUUACCAUGAACCAUAAAUUAGAUUUACCUUGCAAUGUCUACUAAAGAUAACAAAUUGUAUAAUAUUUACUGAACAAAUUAAAGCAAGAAAACGGAGGCAAGAGAGAUUGACAUGUCCUCUCAAGUCAGAAUGGGCUCGAGGUAAUGUGGAACCUAUGAGAUCAAUGAAUUUCGAUACUCGAUCGUGAGCAACUUCUGUUUCUGAAUACCAAAAAUGAAAAGUACAGGUUUCGGAAAUACCAAAUAUAAAAGAUAUACCUGCCUCUUCAUGAAUGUCAACUCAUACCUUGACCAUGUACUUUCUCAUCAGAACCUGCAUCUUCGUCAGAAAUACCCAACCCAAGUCCAGCACGACAGCGGGCAAAGCAAGGCAUCCAAACCCCAAAAGCCAACCGCCACGUCGCUUCCAACGCAGAGUCGACUCGAACCCAACCGCGUGGCCUCCUCGUCGCUUAACCCUGAAACCUUCCUUGUCGCACGGUUGCAUCUCUCGCAUUCUCUUCCUUUUUGAAAAGGAGUCGCGCGAGGCGAGAGAAAAAAGCCCCUGCCGUCGGCGGCCGAACCACGCGAUGCUCCAGAGGCUGGGCCUGCGCGGGAGCCCCAGCGCCCCCGCCGAGGAUGGCGCCUCCGUGUCCGCGCCCCCCGCCGUAGCGCCCUCCGGGAACGGCGGCGCUGGCCUGGGGCGGCCGCUGCGGCUGGCCUACUGCGACGAGAAGGGCAAGUUCGUGAUGGACCCGGAGGCGGUCGCGGCGCUGCAGCUCGUCAAGGGCCCCGUCGGGGUCGUCUCCGUCUGCGGCCGCGCGCGCCAGGGGAAGAGCUUCGUGCUCAACCAGGUACGAAACGCGCGCUUGCCCUUUUGUUGUUGUUGGUGGUGGUGGAGGAGCGUUUAGGCUGGGCGCACCAAAUGUGCGCCUAAGGUUUAGGCGCUGCUUAUGCUGGUUGGUAGAUCGGUGUGUUUGGCCCUAGCGUGAGAAUGUUUGGAAGAUCAUGGGAUGGAUUUAGCAACUCGCGGUUUGGUUGGAUUUAAGAUUCUAGGGUUUAGUUACUGCUGAAUUGGAGCAUGCGCUCGUCAGGUUUUUUUUUUUAUCGGAUUUACCGACAUGGGUGUCUAAGGCUGAAUACUACUCGCGUCCAUACGUUUAGAGGAUUUGUGUUCAUUGCGAGGAUUCCAUAGUAAAAAGACGCAUAAAUUGCGUACUGUGCUUAGGUCCAACCGUUGGUUGCUUCAGGUGCGCAUAUAAAAUUCGCAACCACCGCCUGGCCUUAGAAACAGUGCCUUCAAUUUUGAGAAGUUUCGUGUGUACUGCAUUGAUAUGGAUUGGAGAAUACAUGGUGAUGUUUAGCUGAGUGCUAAGCUAGGUUAUGCAGUUCUCAGUUUAGCUACCAUCAUUUAGGGAUAAGCUUUGGAUGCAAGGUUGUGAUCUUCUGAUAACUAUCUGAAUAGGAUGUCAAGGAGCCUCACCUAUCUGUUGGGAUAAUGGAACUAUGAAACUGGUAAAUACAUGGUGAUGUUUAGCUGAGUGCUAAGCUAGGUUAUGCAGUUCUCAGUUUAGCUACCAUCAUUUAGGGAUAAGCUUUGGAUGCAAGGUUGUGAUCUUCUGAUAACUAUCUGAAUAGGAUGUCAAGGAGCCUCACAUAUCUGUUGGGAUAAUGGAACUAUGAAACUGGUAAAACAAGCACAGUUGCUGCUCACUGGAUAAGAACACUGCAAAAGUUAAUCAAAAUAAUGUCGUGAAAUUUAGACACAGUGUUCAUGUCAUCUUUCUAAUGCAUUGGCACUUGCUGCUAGGUGCAUCUGGCCAUAAGCCCAUAGCCACAUGAUUUUGAGUGGUAGAAUACUUCUAUACCUCUACUGCAGAGAACAGCCUGACAUGUUUGAUUAUUAAAUCUCAAGAUUAUGUGACACUGGUAUACAUCUGAUCAUGUGUACCGUGUACUGAAUCAAAAGUCUUCACACUAAUUCAAUCAGUUCUGUCAGAUGAGCCGCAUAUCAAAAUCAUUAUCCUGCUAAUCCAUCAGAUAAUGAGAUAACGCUAGAAUAUUAUUUUUUCUUGGAUGCUUGGGUCAUUGGAGCUUGAGUUGUAACUUCAUUUUGCUAUUGUACCUUUGUUUCUUUUUGGCGAAAUGAUAUUUGUUUGCUUCAUGCUUUUCUACCCUGUUCUCCAUUUUGUCACCAAACAAUAAAUUAUGACCUCUGUAUGUAGCUUCUAGGCCGAAGCAGUGGUUUUCAAGUUGCAUCAACACAUCGACCUUGCACCAAGGGACUUUGGAUGUGGAGUGCACCUUUGAAGAGAACUGGUCUUGAUGGAACUGAAUACAAUCUUGUCUUGUUGGACACUGAAGGAAUUGAUGCUUACGACCAAACGGUAUGUUGUGUAGCUUUUCCUUAAACUUGAUCCAUAUUUCCGAUAAGGACAAUCUCAUCGUCUGCUAAAUGAUAGUACUUGAUAUUUUUCAUUGUUUAUUUGCAUCAGUAGUUAAAUUGUGAUGAUGAGAUGGUCAAAAGAUUUUCUACUUCCAGUAUUUCCUUUAUUGACAAGAUCAUGACAAUGACUUGAGGGAUAUGCAAAUUUCUCAUGCCAAUUCUAUCUAUUCUAAGUUAUUCCAUGUUAAUACUAGUAUAUAGCAAAAGUGUACACACAGUGUGCGUUUUUUUUGCAUCAAUAGUAAGUUUUCUGUAUUCUAUUUAACCUACUCUGAUGGAACUCCAAUGAGAAACCAUCCAGGAAAAAAUAUUCUUGCGAUUUAAUACAAUUAGAUGUUAAUACAGUUCGGUGCUAGUAUAAACAAAUAUUACUCCAAACUACAAUUAGAAAGCAUGGACUUUAAUACUCAAUUUUUUCCUGAUGAUUUUUUCAUGGCUGCUUGCUUGCUUUUGUGCACUACCAUAUAUAUUUCCUUCUGCUUUCUGUUCUGUUGUCUCAUGUUCACUAUUUCCUUUUUGACAGGGCACCUAUAGUAUCCAGAUAUUUUCACUAGCUGUUCUAUUAUCAAGCAUGUUCAUAUACAACCAGGUAUAUUUCUUUAUGAAUGACCGAGCAUUGUUCCGCUAUGUUGAAGAGCUUUUCAUAUCCUGAGUAAUAUUGAUGAUGUCGAUCAAUAAACUGGUUUGGUCUUUUUCCAUGCAUACUCUGAUGUGUUGAAACCUUGUUGCUUCCUCCAGAUGGGAGGGAUAGAUGAAGCCUCAAUCGAUCGUCUUUCACUGGUCACAGAAAUGACAAAGCAUAUACGCGUUAGGGCCUCAGGUGGAAGGUCCACUGCGUCUGAACUUGGUCACUUCUCACCAGUCUUUGUUUGGUUGUUGAGGGUAAGAUAUUGGGUUUAUUUUGUCCUAAAAAAGCUGUUUGCAUUCUGCUUCAAUUGUAUUUUAAUUUAAUCGUUCACUAUCAAAGAUCUCUGAUGUUUAACCAUGACCUGCAAUUCAUGUUGUACCUCUUUUAUAAUCACUGACAUCCUUGUUUGCUACCUGCAGGACUUCUACCUGGACCUGGCAGAAGACAACAGAAAAAUUACACCACGAGAUUAUCUUGAACUUGCGCUCAGGUCUGUUCAAGGUGGAGGAAGAGAUGUAUCAGCUAAGAACGCGGUAUGGGUUCAAAGUUUUUUUCAAAUGCAAUUCUGCUGAAGUAACUAGCACACAUGUUAUUGCGCUGUAUCUUCUUGUAACAUAUCUUAAAGAUACUGAUUUAUCUUCUUUUUAACAUCUCUGGAGAUACGGGAGUCAAUCCGUGCUCUUUUUCCAGACAGGGAAUGCUUUACACUUGUGCGACCGGUGAACAAUGAGAAAGAUCUCCAGCGCCUUGACCAACUUGAUGUAAGUAUUGUUCUGUUCAACUGCAAUGGAGAACCUGCUACUAUUGGCAUGUGCACAAGAAGUUGAAUUUAUUUAUAUCAUACUGUUGAGAUAGAAUCACAUUUUUGUCAAGCCGUGUGUGCACAAAUACCCAUGCAGAUUAUUGAGUGCUUAUUGUGGCUUUAGAGUAAAAAAUUAAUGUUGGAAAGUCCUUUGAAGAUCUCACAACAUUAACUAGCAUGAACUAAAUAGUAAAUGAAUGUUCUACAUGUUCUCUUUUAGUUUUCUACACGUUAGAAUCAUAUUGCAUGUUCACUAUGGUCCAUUAGUUUAAAUGGUUGACGUUGAUAAAGGUUCUCAUUUCUUUACUAUUUAUUUUGAUUUCUUUGUGCAUGCUUAGUUUGUCUCCCUGUUUGCAGCUGAAUACCUUUCGUCCAGAGUUCAAAUCUGGUUUGGAUGCUUUCACAAAAUUUGUGUUUGAUCGAACAAGACCCAAACAACUUGGAGCUAGUACCAUGACUGGCCCCAUCCUUGCUGGAUUGACACAAUCAUUUCUUGAUGCCAUUAAUACUGGUGCAGUCCCGACAAUAUCUUCCUCAUGGCAGGUAUGUCUGGAUUGAUAAUAUCAUUACAAAAUCACAAUAUACAUAUUGUUUUGAUCUUUUUAUAUGUAUUGCGCAUCCAAGUCUUAGUGUUUCUUGUAGAUUAAUUCCUAUAAUGCUAUCGAGAAACUGACCUAAUCUGCAGUAUGAUCAUUUGAAUUGCACUCUCAAGUUUUUGUGUCCAUUUUAGUUUAACCAUUUGCAGUGCUCCUUUGUAGCAGGUAAUCUUUGGAGCAAAUGAUGGUUGAUUUAUAUGCCCUAGGUUUUGUUAUACUUAAUAUUCUUAGGUGGCUAUGAUGUUCUAGGUGCAGUAUUGUCAGUUAAUUGCGCACCUUAAGUAUGCUUACUGUAAGGAAGCAAGAUAAAAUAUGAGAGAAUGAAUUUCUGAAACAGUUUGACAAAUAACUAAACUAUUAAUUUAAACAACAGAGACACACACAUGAGGAUAUUAAGUGACAUGAGUGGUUCGGUGAGCAACUACAACCAUUAGCUUAGUUUUGUAGUUGUUGUGUCGCUUUUUACUAUUCAAUUGCAGUUUAGGUAUCUGGUUUUGUUAGGGAGGAAGUUAACUGAUAAUUUAUGUUGUGCAGAGUGUGGAGGAAACAGAAUGUCGUAGGGCAUAUGAUUCUGCUCUGGAUACUUACAGGUCUUCAUUCAACCAGAAAAAGUCAGUAGAAGAGGUAGGUAUUUCUAAUAAACAAGAUGCAUUGUGUUCUUCCGCUUUACUGGAAGGUUCUGAUCCUUUCAUUUUGUCAGGAUGCUUUGAGAGAAGCACAUGAAGCUGCAGUGAAUAAGGCUAUUAAUGUUUUUAAUGCCUCUGCUGUUGGUGCUGGUUCAGCUCGUUCGAAAUUUGAAAAGCUUCUACAAACUUCUCUGAGAAAGAUUUUUGAGGUGACUUUGCUGCUCCUCUUCUACUUUAAUUGAACAUGUCUGCUAUUGUUUGUCUUUCUCUUUGAUGUUCCAUCUUCCAAUGCCUGCUAAUUGUUAAAAUACAUCAGUGCAGAAGUUUGCCAGAAAGCUUAACCGUACUAAUAUGAAUGCAGGAUUACAAAAGGAAUACUUAUCUGGAGGCUGAUUUGCAAUGUACAAAUAGAAUACAGAACAUGGAGUCAAAAGUACGGGCAGCAUGUAGCCGUCCUGAUUCAAAAUUGGAUGAUGUAGUCAGGGUGAGACUAUUUUAAACAUUUCCACGGAUGUAAUCAUGCAAAUCAUUGGAAUGCUCUUUCCAUUUUAGCUCAAAAUUUAAUGAUGCACAAACAUAUUCCAUGUUUUAUAUAAUGCAGCUCCUUGAUGGCCUCGCCACGGAGUACGAGUCAACUUCUUAUGGGCCGAAGAAAUGGACAAAGCUAGCUACGUUUCUGCAGCAGUGGUAAACACCUCUUCCCUCUUAGUGUUUGUCUGUGUCUUUGUGACACGAUGACAGUAACAUACCAUAAAAUGUGUGCAGUGAACUUGAUCAAUUUGGUGACAUGGAACUUAUGAAUUUAUGCUGUUCAUUUUGUCGGCAUGAUAUUAAAUCUUGUACUGACACUGUUAGGAAAUAUUUGAACAUCUUAACCAUUUCCCUCCAUUUUCCUUAUAUCUGUGACUUGGAACUAAAUUUCAUUUUCUGUCAAUCACUGCAGUUUAGCGGGUCCCGUGCUGGAACUUUUCAGAAAACAGUUGGAGCAUAUAGAUGCUGAAAGGAAAUCCCUGAGAUUGAAAUGCAAUUCAAGCGACGAUAAGUUAGCAUUGCUUAGGAAGCAACUCGAGGCAAGUGAGGGGCACAGAGCAGAGUAUUUAAAGCGAUACGAGGAGUCUAUUAAUGAUAAGCAGAAAAUUUCAAAGGAUUACUCUGCUCGACUGGCUGAACUUCAGAACAAGGGUAGUAAGUUGGAAGAACGCUGUUUGAGCUUGUCUUCUGCUCUUGAACAUGCAAAACGAGAAUCUGUUGAUUGGAAGAGUAAAUACGAUAAUAGCAUUUUACAGCAGAAAGAAGAGGAAAGCAAGUUAAGAUCCCAAAUUGCUUCGUUGGAGUCUAGGGCGAAUAUCAGUGAGGGGAGAUUAUCUGCUGUGCGUGAGCAGGCUGAGUCUGCUCAAGAGGAAGCAUCCGAGUGGAAACGUAAAUGCGAAUAUGCUUCCAGUGAGGCCAAAACAGCUCUUCAGAGAGCUGCUGUAGCACAGGAACGCACAAAUAAGAAGGUGCAAGAAAGGGAAGAUGCUUUAAGGGCAGAACUUGCUAGCCAACUGUCUGAGAAGGUAAUGCUUUCUCUUGUCCAAUUGUAGCUGUUUACAGUUGUUUACCUCAAGUCUUACAGGUGCCUGGUUUGCUUACAUUUGCUGUUUCUGUUUCUUCAACAGGAUGAAGAAAUAGCCAGACUCAGCACAAAAAUUAACCAAACUGAAGUCCAUGCUACAAGCCUGAUCUCAAGGCUUGAGGUAACCAUUUCCCUCCUUCUCUCCAUUUCAGUACAAUACAAAUUUCUUGUAGGUGAUGUGAUCUAACCUCUCAUGUCUGCAAUGAACUAAAUUCAGGUUGCUGAAGCAAAGGUGAAGAAUUAUGAGUCAGAUUCGGUGACUCUGAAGGAACAGAUUAGAUUAUUGACUGAGAACUUGGAGUCUAUCAAAACUGAAGCUCAGUCACGUGAGAAGGAAGUGAAGAUUCUGGAACAAGAAAAAAACCAUCUUCAAGAAAAGUUUUUAUCAGAGUGCAAAAGGUUCGAUGAGACAGACAGGAGGUGCAAAGAAGCUGAAAGGGAGGCUAAACGUGCAGUAGAAUUAGCCGACUUAGCUCGUGUAGAAGCUGCUGCUGCCCAGAGAGAUAAGGGCGAAGCACAGCGACUAGCAAUGGAGAGACUUGCGUUAAUAGAAAGAAUGGAGAGACAGGUUGAGAGUCUAGAGAGGGAGAAGAAUAAGAUGGUGGAAGAAAUGGAGCGACUUCAUCAGUCUGAGUUGGAUGCAUUGUCCAAGGUCACGAUGCUUGAUGAAAGGGUUGAUGAGAGGGAAAAACAGAUCGGGGAGAUGUUAGAACAGAAUAAUCAGCAAAGAUCCAGCACAGUUCAAGUGCUUGAGCAUCUACUGGAAACGGAACGUGAAGCUUGCGCUGAAGCCAAUAAGAGGGCUGAGGCCCUGUCAUUGCAGCUGCAAGCAACUCAAGGCAAGCUUGAUAUGCUCCAGCAGGAGCUGACAUCAGUUCGGCUCAAUGAAACCGCACUUGACAGCAAGGUUAAGGCCUCAUAUUCACGGCGCUUAAGGGGUGAAGGUACCGAGUCUGUCCAUGAUAUGGAUAUCGACGAUGACAACAAUGGGAGGCGGAGAAAAAGAACAAAAAGCACUACAAGCCCGUUUAAGCAUCACACGGAGGAUGGCGGGUCUGUAUUUAUCGGAGAAGAUACUAACAACGGGAGCCAGCAGGUCGAGGAGACGGAGACUGAAGACUACACCAAGUUCACUGUGCUGAAACUGAAGCAGGAGCUCACGAAGCAUGGGUUUGGUGCCCAGCUGCUACAGUUGAAGAAUCCCAACAAGAAGGACAUCGUCGCCUUGUAUGAGAAGCAUGUUGUGGCCAACUAGCUGUGUCCUCCAUAGCAUUAUGUAAUAGUAUUAACUCUGCACACCAUAGAUUUUCCUGUAGCGUUCAACAUUGUGUUUGCAAGAUUCUGUGCCAUCUAAUUUGUGGCUGCCACGUACAAGAUGUGCCAUCUAAUUUGUAGUGUUCAACAUUGUGUUUGCCAAGACGAUCGAUGAGCAGCAUGACCGGACCCAGAAUACGUGAAUGCUUGAUUAAUUUGCUCGCCGUGCCGUGCCGUGCCGGUCGAGACGCCGAACUGUUUCCCUAGCACAUCGUCGAGUCGUUGCUGGCCGGCCCCACUGGGCAGCGCCGUAGUCGCGCGCACGUAGAUAAGGGCGCACUCUCUUGCACACGACGACACGUACCCACGUCUUAAUCAUCCAUCCCCAAAAAAGGUCUCGUUGCCUAAUACGCAUCGUGCCAAAUCCUUUCUUUCACGCACACAAGAACACAAUAACAAAAGACCGGACUCCAAACUCAAUAACAGGCGCCAUUAAUUGCCCCUUGCGUUACUCAACAACAGUGCCUAAUCUCUUUUCCUUUUUUAACACGACCAGUAGUGCCUCAGCUUAAUUAGCUCUGGCCGUGUCGAGGCGUACGUACGUGGCUGGAGUAGGCCGCGAAGCAACCCAAAGCCUUGAAUCGGCAAGGCUCCCGUCCCGCGUUUCGGUCCGUCUGUCUUGCAAGCAACGGGAAAGACUCCAUCCCCCCCCGGGGUGGCUGGCUUUGUUUCGGUUUUAAGGUUCUUGUUUCUUGCAAGCCAAGUGCAGGUGCGUCCUACGUACGUGCUUGCUCGCCGACCAAAAACCGCCACGGCACGCCCGAUCCAUGUCGUCACGACGCGCCGUGCUCUCCCCGUAAGAACUCCCUUUAAAAUCCCCUUCCCGUUCUGCAAAUCCGCAUUGCAUGCACCACACAUCAUUAAGAUUCCACCAGCUUUUUUCAUCCCGAUUCUUCCAGAGGCAACAUUCUUCUUCGGCGAAGCGUAACGCAAGACCCGGCUGCGGCAAUGGCGACGCCACGGAGCGAGGUGGUGGAGGAGCAGCCGCAGCCGCAACCGCAAGAGCACGGGGUGCACGUCGAGGAAGAGGAGCGCCAGCCUCUCCUGGUGAAGCGAUCGGCGGACGACGGCGGGACCGGGAUGAGCCCGAUGCAGAAAGCGAUCAGCCAAACAUACCAAAGCACGGCGCACCUGGCAACGCUCCUCCCAACGGGCACCGUGCUCGCCUUCCAGCUCCUCUCCCCGUUAGUAACCAACCAGGGCGACUGCCUCCCCUCCAACCGCGCCAUGGCCGGCGCCCUGGUCUCCCUCUGCGCGCUGUCCUGCUUCGUGCUCAGCUUCACCGACAGCUUCCGCGACGACAAGCAAACGGGGAACAACGGCGCCGUGCGGUACGGGUUCGCGACUCUCAGGGGCCUCUGGGUGAUCGACGGCGGAGCGCCGCUCGAGGCAUCCCAGGCGGCCAAGUACAGGGUCAGGUUCCUGGACCUGGUGCACGCCGUGGUGUCCGUCAUGGUGUUCGCGGCCGUGGCGCUGUUCGAUCAGAACGUGGUGGGCUGCUUCUGCCCCGUGCCGUCCCAGGACGCCCGGCAGGUGCUCACCGUGCUGCCCAUAGCGAUCGGGGUCGUGGGCAGCAUGUUGUUCGUCGCGUUCCCGACCACCCGCCAUGGCAUCGGCUUCCCGCUCUCGCAGCACUGAUUUGUUUGAUUGAUUGAUUGAUUGAUUGCGAAAUUGGGUUCGGUUGUUCGGUUUUCCUUGUUCCGUUUCUUGUAAAUGAUACAGUGGUCGGACAAGUUGUGUAAUCUAAUUCCGGUGCCGAAUGGCGAACUUUGAUAAGGUCUGUUCUUGUAUCUGCUUGUGCGCACCGUACUGUUGACUUAUUUUCAGAUAAAUGUGUAGCCGGAUGGAAGGUGGUACUAUUGAGCUUCUGACGCGAUGAAGGGCCUGAAUUUUGUACCCCGUAAUUUUGCUUCAAUUCCUCGUGGCUAAAAAAGUACACCAUACGCUAUGGCCUAUGGGCGUGUGAAUAUCGGUAGAGUUGGCUUUUCCAAACAGCAUUGUUCAUGUGCUUUUAACUGACCCAUAGACCUCAGAUUGUAAGCUAUGCAAGCUUGGUUAGUCCUCUAGAAGCGUUGUUGGACGGCAGAUCGUUUGGCUAAGAGGGGGCUUGCUGCAUCCUACGAGGUGCCCUCUAUGCGAUCAGAUUCCGGAGACGAUCAACCACCUCCUGCUCAAUUGCGUGGUGGCUCGUCAGGUUUGGGCUUCGGUGCUUUCGGUUUGGCACUUUCCAGAUCCAUUGGUGUCGAGUGCUCAUGCUGAGUGGUGGACUAGCCGUCCUGUGGUGCAAAAUGAUAGAUACGAUUUGUCAACUGGUAUUAUCUUGGUUUGAUGAUCGAUCUGGAAGCACCAGAACGUGUUAGACUAAACUGAACAUGCUUAGAUUGAAACUAAUGACAUGAUCUUAUAACAUUAGUCUAAAACACGAUCACAGACGCGGAAAUAAACUAACCAUUGGUUGGAACAGCCACGAACGCCUCUGAUGUCGUCGUGGGAGAUGUUGUUGUUGACGUAGGUGUUCGUGCAGGGUAGCGGUGACCCUCGGGGCGCCACCGACACUGACCUGGACGGGGAUCGGUCCUUGGGUUGCCCUCCAGCGCCGCUAAGUGAUUGGGUAGUAUUUCAGUGGAACGUUGGGAAUGAACCCGUGGGUGUUCCCUUUAUAUUGGUGUUGUGGGUUCAAGGCCGAUCUCGAAUCGCCGAGAUUCUGCUUCCGAUCAUCGCACGUUGAUGGCUAAUUGCUUAAUUAGCGGCAUGAUCAACGACAGGCUAAGGCAUGUUUUAUGGCUAAUUUCGUAAUUAUUGGCGUGAUUAGCGACUGGCUAAUUAAUGCUAAUCGUUAUUAGGUGAGAUCAUUCCUAACGAAUCGAUGAGGUCUUCAAUGGUGCACAGGUGGAUGCUACGAUCACUCUUCAGAGGAUUGUGACGGAGGGGUCUCUGCGGCAUAGUGUGGGCUUAUUCAAGCGUUCAUCCUUUGGAAGGUAUAGUCGAGUGGAAGUGAGAGGAGGUUUGAGUGAGUAGUAUUUCCACCCAUGGCGUUGUACUGCUUCGCGGUAUUUUUCUUCAAUGUAUGAUACAUCCGCUCGGUUGUAUUCCAAAAAAAGUUUACAAGUCAUGCGUUAACUUCAUGAAUCAUAAAAACUGUAUCUGAUUGAGUUUGAGUUUUUCAAGGGGGCAUUGCACGCGUGCAAUUUUUUUUUGCAGGGACAUGUGAGCAAAUUGACAAACUAUUCGAUAUAGAUGCAUCGUUGGUGGUUACAUGGACAAUUUUUCUUACAAACUGCUCCGGCACAAACUAUCGAAGAUAUGCGAAACGUAAUUCGGUACACCUUGAUUAAUACGGUGAUCAAGGUAUUUGUGCUAUUGAAAACGUCAAUCGUUUUCUCAAAAGUUUUAUGUGAUUCCACAUUUACAUGCUGCUAGUAUCAUAAUUUUUAUUUAUUCGUAUUAAAGUUGACCUGAACAGCACGUGUCACUGGUUCAUUCGGGGCUACAUCGGGACCAUCCAUCCCAUCACGACGGCAAAGACCCGUCACGUACUCUGUACUCCCUUCUGACGCACUGCCACGUGGGUCCAGGCAUCCCCAUCCUGCACAAAAGGAAAAAGUCACGAACAGCAUCUGCGACGUCUCCAUCCACCACAGAAGAUCCCCGACCAGUUCUCCGUCGCCCGCCCAGCCCAGGAACAUCUAUGAACACGCACGAGCGCAUCCCCAUCCAAACUCCCCAAGAAAAAUUACACCAAACACAGACACCAAAAAAAAAGGCCACCACAACACACCAAUCGCGAAUCCGCCCGCUCAUUAUUCUCGUCAACAACAACAGCAGCAGCAGCAGCAUCGGAAAUCAGAAAGAAGUAAGGAGCGAAAUAAUAAAGUCGGAAGGAAGCAGCAGGAGGAGGAGAGGAGGAAAAAGGGUUUUUAUUAGCAUGGAACAACAGCAGCCAGCGAUCCAGAUCCUGGCCAACUCGGAUCGAGUGGCCUCCCGUGUUGCUCCUAAUCCUCCUCAUCCUGCUGCUGCUGCUAAUUUCCAAUCGCCGCAGCGUCUCCGUCCUUUUCCGCUUUCGCAUCACGCGAGGCCGCCCCGUUGUUCCGCUCCUGCGCCUGCUCUUCCUUGUUGUGUUUGUGGAAUUACUGCCCCGGAUCGCCGGUCCGGUUCGACUUUUCUUCCCCUCCUUCCGCCGGGCUAUUUAUCGCGGGAUUUGGCGAGGAGGAGUGCGGAGGAGGGUUAGGUUUUGUUUGUUUGUUUGGUUUGGUUUUCUUCUGUUCUGCGGUGUUUGGUUUCGCGUCGUCGGGGGUUGGCGAGUCGCCGAGUCUGGGUCUGGAUCGAUCGGACUCGGAGGGGAUGGAUUCCUCCGGGGAUGAGGGAGCCGGGGAGGCGCCGGGGAGCCCUGCCCCUGCGCCGUCGUCGCCACCCGCCGCCGCCGCUGCUGCUGGUGGUGGAGCCGGUGCCUCUGGAUUCAGGAGCAGGCCGACGGCGAAGCGCGUGAUGAAGACGCCCUACCAGUUGCAGGUUCUUGAGAAGACCUAUGCAGGUUGGUGGACGGUUUCCCGAUGAUUCUGAAAUUUUGGGGUUUCGACAGUGCUUGUUUUACAGGAUUUUUUGAUCGGAACUGUGAGUUUUUUUUUCUGAGGAUUUAGUUCGGUUUGUGAUGGUGCAGAUGAUCCGUAUCCGAACGAGACGACACGGGUGGAACUGGCUGCGAAGUUGGAACUGACGGACAGGCAGCUCCAGAUGUGGUUCUGCCACCGGCGGCUCAAGGACCGGAAGCAACCGGUGAAGCGGGAAGAGGAGGUUUCUGUGCCAGUCAUACCGUCGCCGUCUGUGCUGCAGCCGUCGGUGCCAAACAGCAAACUAGCGCGGGGCUCCGGUAGCACCUACAGUCAGCAGCUGCUGCCUUGCUCGCAGAGAGGCCGUGGCCGUGACCGCUCGUCGGCUGUCCCAAGGAUUUCUGCUACAGAGAUUGCGAGGAGAUACUAUGAGCCACAUCAAGUUAUGCUGCCUCCGCUGGCAGCAGUGCAACCCAUGCAAGGAGCACACCAGAUGAUUGAUUAUGUCCAAGAGCUGAUAGGGGAGCAACUGAGGGAGGAUGGGCCAGUGCUUGGUGUGCACUUCGAUCCGCUUCCUCCUGGUGCAUUUGGGACACCUAUUGGUAUGAGCAAUGCCCAUGCUGCUUCCAUUUUGUAAUUUUGUAGUGCCCUAAUAUGUUUGUAUGCUUAAUGACAUACCUGAGGAAAUUGUGAAUGUAAACUUGAGUUUUUGUUGUGUUUGGAAAGUGUUAAGACAGUGUAUUGAUGCCAAUUCCUCAUGUUAUACUUCCAAUAUUUUGACAUGAUUUCUGCUGUUCAUUUUUCAUGUGCUGGAGCAGUUCAAGAGCAGCGGAAGCAGCCUUUUCGAUCUUAUGAGACCAAGGUACUCUGGGCAUGAUCCCAAGCUCAUGAACGUAUGCUUCAUUACAUUUGCAGACACAUGUUGUGUUUUGCUAGCCACAGAGCUGUAUGCACCCCUGUUGUAGAUGGUUUGAGCAGAAGGACUAUUCAUUUAUCACAGUUUGCACCUUCAUUAAUCUGCCUCACAUACAUUACGAAUUAUCAUGGUGCUCCAAUGACUGCAAAGAGCAAACUCUGUUUCAUGCAGAGGCACAGCUCACUGCUUGCAUAUUUGAUGCAUCAGUUAAUUCUGCAAAUAUUUGAACACAAGCAGGGUUCAUAGAUAAAAUUGGUUGCAUGAAUUAGGUUUAGACAGAUAAGAGAUGUAAUACUUAAAGUGUUAAACUACUGAUGCCAAUAUUGUUGUAGUUCUGGUAUGAAAGUAGAGAGCAAAAAAGAGAGACAUCCCGGUGUAUUUGUCCCAACUGGUGUUUAGAGCCAAGAUGAGCUUACUAGACUUGGCCAAAAGAUUUACGUUAUAAUGUAUGUUAUGUUUAUAAUGGUUUCCUGGCACGGUUGGUCCGAUCAGCUGUUCAGGAACAAAAUCAACCAAUCUUGUGAGCAGGCUAACAAAGGAAAUCAUAUGGUUUAUACAGAACUGCUAAUAUGUGUGUCAUCUUCGUAAAAUGAUCGCAAGGAAUUUAGAUUAUAAACUAGUAAGUCUUUGUAUUGGAACCACGGACCUAUGAAGUAAAUUUAGGAUCUAAUCAUUUUGGAUAAUUAUUUGCCCUGAGUUCAAGUGUGUUGAUGUGUUGAUAUUGUCUCCUGAUAUUGUAUAUGAUCCUGUUCGAGUACACCAUUUGAAGUUAUAUUACUAUGGUCAUGUAAAUAUGUUUGUUAGUGAUGUAGAUUGCUCAUUUCACUUAGUACAAAACAGGGCUUUUUGCAGUAACUUGUGCCUUGCCACCAUCAGCUCUAUUAAAUGGAUGAAUUUGAUGGAUGCCUCAUGAUUAUGACUUCUUUAUUCCUUGUAUGUGUAUUGUUGCUUUUAAGGGAAUAACCCAAAGAGACAUCAUAUCACCUACUUUGUUUAUGGAACAAUAUAUGUAUGGUUAAUUCUUCUUUUUAGCUUGAUUACAACAUUUGUGUCCCUCUCUCAUGAUUGAUCACAUCACGCUUAAAUACUUAAUUGUACUUUAUACUCAAUUCUACAAUUGUUUUUGUUCUCCUGUUGUAUUUGUCUUCUUGCCUUACCGCUUUUAGUUUGACAGUGUUUUUGUGUUCUGUUUUCCCCUUUGCAGGCAUCAGAAUUCUUGCCUACCAUAGACCCUUCUGUUCCAAGUACAGUUACUCGGAAGCGGAAGUCCAUGGAUGGAAAUUCUCCUCAUCUUGGUUCACGAGCAGUACGUCAGUACCAGUUUCUUCCGGAGCAGCCAAGCGUGUAUGAGAGGCCAAGCCAGCAGCGCUUUCAUGAUGCUCCAACGGAAGCUUCAAAUUUGAGGAUAUCUUCUGUGUCUACAGGAUCACGCUUUCUCCAUGGUGCUGAGCAUGAACCUAGCUACGCAUUUCAUGGUCAAAUAUCUGGUCCUAGCCAUUUAAGUCAACAUGGAAAACCAUUGAUCUUCCCAUCCGGAUCCACAGACUAUGAGGCAGCUUCAUCUUAUAUUAAUGUUAGCGCUGCUCCAAUCGAAGGCCAGUUUGGCAUUCCACAAGUCGCUGGAUUUAAAACACCCCUUGCAUGUUCCGAAGGAGUGGAUUAUCGGUGUGAAGAUGUGUAUCGAUUGGAUAAAAAGCGCAAAGUAUGAUUUUCAUUGACUUCAUGGAUACACCUAUAUUUCUUCUUCUGUUCAGAUUAGUUGAUAUACGAUCUUUUUCUCAUAUCAUAUUUAUUUCAGCAUAGCGAGGAAGCAAAGAUUGCAAAGGAAGUUGAUGUGCAUGAAAAACGAAUAAGAAAGGAGCUCGAAAAGCAAGAUGUAUUGAAUAGAAAGGUAUUCCUUGUUUUUGUUAUAGAAGAUCAAUUAUGUCUUUCAUGGUAAGACACUUAGCGUUUUAGUUUAUUUGCAGAGAGAAGAACAAAUGAGGAGGGAAAUGGAGAGACAUGGUCGUGAAAAAAAGAAAGAGGAGGAAAGGUUGAUGCGUGAAAAGCAGAGGGAAGAAGAGAGACUCCAAAAGGAGCAAUGGCGGGAACACAAGCGCAAGGAGAAGUUUUUGUUGAAACAGUCCUUGAGAGUUAGUUCACUAGCUCCUACACUAUAUCAAUGCAACAAGAAUAGAGUUUAGACCAUUGGCACUGUUCAGUUUAUAAUCUUUUUUAUGCACAGGCUGAAAAACUAAGACAAAAAGAGGAGCUCCGGAAGGAGAAAGAAGCUGCAAGGCAAAAGGCUGCUAAUGAAAAGGCUACAGCACGUAGAAUUGCACGGGAAUACCUGGAACUCAUGGAAGAUGAGCGCUUAGAGCUAAUGGAACUGGUUUCACGGAGCAAAGGAUUGCCCUCAAUGCUUUCUCUUGAUAGUGAUACAUUGCAGCAACUUGAUUCAUUUAGAGGUGUGCCCAUGAUUCCUGGAUCUAAGCUUCUAGACUGCAUAUACUGUCUUUGCUUCCUUUGUUUUCAUUCGAUAAGAAGAAAAAGGAAGCAUCUGUCGAUUCAAUACUGAACUUUGUUUUUCUCAACUGGGAUAAUUACCUAUUUUAUGUCAUAAGUCAAGGUCUGUGUCAAAAAAAUCAUCAUCUUAAAUAUAUGAUCUGGCUAGUUCCUAGUACAUUAGUACAUUUAAGCCUGAAGUUCUGAUGAUACUUGGAUUAUCAUAUCUAAUAUAAGAAUGGAAACCUCCAAACAUAUACUCCCUCCGUCCGGUAUCAAGUGUCACAACUUUGUCUAGAUAAGCAUGUAUCUAGACGCGUUUUAGUGUGUAGAUAUAUGCGUACCUAUAGAAAAAUUUGCGACACUUAAUACCGGAUGGAGGGAGUAUUUAUUAUUUUAUUUUCAUAUGUUUAUAAAUUUGAGCCCCCUUUGCUGUUCCCCCUUUUUUAAGAAGGAAUCUAUCCAUUAAAAUACCCCCUUUCUAAGAAUAAAUAUCAUUACUGCUUAUUAACAAAUCAGUAUGUCCUUUCCGUAUGAAAACUUGGCUAACUAAAUAGUUAUUUCUAUUAUCAGGGUUAAAAAAGUUGGAUAAAGUUUUUUCAUUACUGUUUAGUGCUUAGCCUGGAUUAUAUAAAAUACUUUGUUUGCUCGAGCUAAAUAUCACAAAAAUGACUAGUUUAUUUUUCCGCUAGUUCUGUUUAAGUUUCACGUGUUGUCGCAUGAUAUAACAUCUACAUUGGGGUUUGCCCUUUUACAGGAAUGCUGACACAAUUUCCUGCUGAAGUUGUGAGACUGAAGAUACCAUUUUCAGUAAAACCGUGGAUAAGUUCUGAGAAUAACAUUGGAAGUCUUUUGAUGGUACUUCCCGAUCUGAUUCGUUAACUUCUCUUUUCCACCUAAGCUUCUCACACACACAUAAAUAGUGGUAAAUGGAAGCUUUAAACUUGCACUUAAAAAGAGUUUUGCUACCCUGUGUAGCAGACACACGUAAAGAGUGGUAAAUGGAAGCUUUAAACUUGCACUUAAAAGAAUUUUGCUACCCUGUGUAGACAAAGAACACGUUUAUGAAGCUGAAGUGUAUAAAGAAUUAAAGACUGGUAAUUGGAAGCUUUAAACUUGCACUUAAAAAGAGUUUUGCUACCCUUUGUAGACAAAGAACACAUUAUGAAGCUGAAGUGUAUAAAAAAUAACCACUUAUGUCAUUAUUUUUCAUUUUUUAUUCUAUACUGCUCAUUUUUUAACCAAAGCCGCUUUUUAAUGAAAUUCAGGUGUGGAAGUUCUUUUUUACCUUCGCCGAUAUUCUUGGGCUUCCAUCAUUUACACUCGAUGAGUUCAUGCAGUCUCUUCAUGAUUAUGUAAGUGAUUUGCUCAAUGCAUAAUGUUAAUUUUGAAUCUUUGUAUUGUUUACUCUAAUCAAUACUGAGAGAUCCUAGGCUUUUCCAGUCAUGGCAUCUGUUUGUUCCUUUGUUGUUAUUGUCAAAUUAUGGUGUGAUAACCACUAACCUGUACUUUAGAUUGUGUGCAUGACUGUCUCUGCUUCCUCAGCUUUUAUAUCCAAUUCAUGUAUGCUGAAGUAUGCUAAAGCGUAAAGACUGAACUAGCAUUUGACUGUUGGAUCAUGACAAGUUUUCAGAGCUUUUACUUCUGUCCUUAAGAAAAUUUAACAGCUCAUACUAUAGCAUUGCUGACUGUAGGCGUUUACUGGUAUUCAUUUGACAGGACUCGAGGUUGUUGGCGGAAUUGCAUGUUGCUCUUCUAAAAUCCAUCAUAAAAGAUAUCGAGAAUGUUGCCCGGACUUCUUCAGAUGCUUUCGGUGUGAAUCAGAGCAGUUCUGCUAAUCCUGGAGGUGGACAUCCACAAAUUGUUGAAGGGGUGUGUGUGUCUAUCUCCUGGUUUUCUAAAACAUAGGUUUUGUUCUGUUGGAAACCAGUGUUAGGUAUAAUUUGUUGAUAUCUGAUUUCUUAUUGUUAGGCAUAUGCUUGGGGAUUCAACAUACUUACCUGGCAGCGCCACUUGACUUAUCAUACAUGGCCUGAAAUAUUGCGCCAAUUUGGUUUAUCUGCUGGUUUUGGUCCCCAGUUAAAGAAAAGGAGCGUUGAAGAUGUAUAUUGCCAUGAUGAUAAUGAGGUAUUGACUUUUGAAGAUUUGAAAUAUAUAACAGCUUAUUUGGCAUCCAUCUUUUCAUUUCAUUUGAUAGAAUUUCAUUUGGUUGAAUUUGAAUUCCGGGUUCAAAAAUCAUGUUUGUCUACCACAUGGAUUUGUAGAGUGAGAGACAAUUCCAGAGAAAUGAUGGCUUUUAGAGAGGAAUUGGGGUUAAUUAUAGUGUGAUUCCAUGGAAUUUGAGAUUGAAUUCCUGUGGCCAGUUCCAUGCCAACCAAACAAGUUGAUUGAAUUCCUGGAAUUUCAUUUGGUUUCUGGAAUUCAAAAGGAAUUCCAGAAUUCUAGGCCCAAAUGAUGGAUGCCAAACGAGCUGUAAGAUAAUUUGAGCUUUGACAGUUAUAUUUAGGAGAAAGUCUGCAUGUCUAUGACCCCAUGAACUAUAGGGCUGUUCUACUACUGUACUCCACACUGCAAACUAAAAACCGUCUAACCAAACCCCUAGAACUUAUCAAAAGUGGCUAUUUAGGGCAUCUUCAAAGAUACUCUUAUUUGAAAUCUCUGAUGUGGAGGAAAGAGAAAUAUAAGAGAGAAGAGAACUGACUCUUCGUGGAGUCAAGACUCUUAGCCAAGAGUCUACUAAGAGUUAACCUUUUUACUAUUGUAAACCAUCUCAUUUAAUGCUAAAAAAUCAUUUAGAGUCAGUUUAAAGACACAACCCAUUGUAUGUGUUAUUUUACUGCUGACUCUAGAUGGCAUGGAGAGUUAAUACUUAGUCUACUAUUGUGGAUGCCCUUAACCCCCUAAGGCCCUGUUCCCUCCGCCCAACCACCACCGCGCACGCACACACAUUCAAUCCAAGCAGGUCCUAAAGUUGUUUUAGUUCAAUGGGUGGUAGUAGACACUCCUGAGACUAUCAUAUUUCAGGAGGUUGUAUUUUAGACAGUUGCCAUUCUUUUUUGAGACGUCAAAUAUAUAUGGUGGCUUAUCUUUCAUUGCUCUUACCCUCUUCCAUUAUAUUGGUGUUCUUGUUUAUGACGUCUCUGUUGGAUAAUCUCACUUUUUGUUAAACCAUUAGAACUAAUUUUUUGUUUGGCUUGAAGAGGCCUUUGGCACCCCUUUAUCUGCUGACCCAGACUGACUUGAGAUUAGGUAUACUGCUUGUUAGUACCAAGCUCAACAGUGACAAUUUCAGAAGUAUAAUGUGUAGAAGAAGUGUUUCUAUCUACAUGCUCCCUUGUUAGUUAGGCUGGUAGUAAAACCCACUGAUAUAUUGUCAACUUCAUGGAAUUUAAACGACUUACCAAUUCUGAUUUGUUUUCAUCGAUUUGCUAAUAGUCCUGCAUUCUUUUCAUGGCAUAUGUACUUUAUAUCUCUAGAGCAUGUGGAAAAUAGUGUGUGGAGGCUGGCUUAGUUUGUUGACAUGGACCAAAAAUCCAUGCAAGCGCUUGUUUUGUCCAAAUGCAAAUUUUGAUUUGCCAUUUUCAAACUUAAGAGUCAGAAAAAUACUAAAUGAGCCUUGAGGGUAAGUUAUGAGACCAUAUAUAGUCACUGGCAAAACCUGUCAGGUUGCACGUGACCAUCUGACUAUUGUUUACAGUAAAACACCUAACUGUUCAGGAUACACCAGGGGAUGACUUGAUGUGGUAUUGGUAAGGAUUCUUUGCCCUUGAUUAAAUUUUGAAUAGCAGCAUGGCAUAUGACAAGUAGUUGAUACACUAAACUUGAAUACGAAACCUCCCAUGCAGCAGUAUUUCUGCUGAAUGACAAUUGAAAAUGAGAGUACAUAUUUGCAGUGCUUUAGCUUUUCUGUAUUGUGCUCUUUUGUUGUCCAUGACAAGAAAAUAAUGCAUAUAGUCAAGAACUCGGACCAAUUCAAUGCAAAAUUUGUUAACAGGGCCGUACUAGCCAGGAUGUUAUUUCCACUCUACGAAAUGGUUCAGCAGCUCUGAAAUCUGCUGCUUUGAUGAAAGAAAGGGGGUAUACCAACCGCAGGUCUAGGCACCGUCUGACACCUGGAACGGUGAAAUUUGCUGCUUUCCAUGUAUUAUCACUUGAAGGAGACAAAGGACUCUCCAUACUGGAGGUUGCAGAAAAAAUUCAGGUACAUUUGCGACCCUACAUUUCUUCCAAACUAGCCUUUACCUUCCAUUGCUUUCUUAGGUAACCUUACUGGUUUGAUUACUGUUUCCUUCAGAAAUCUGGACUGAGAGACCUUACGACAAGCAAGACACCUGAGGCAUCUAUAUCUGCUGCAUUGUCAAGGGACACAAAGCUUUUUGAAAGAACUGCACCCUCAACAUAUUGUGUUAAAGCUCCUUACAGAAAAGACCCAGCUGAUUCUGAGGCUGUAUUGUCAGCAGCACGGGAAAAGAUAAAGUUGUUUCAGAAUGCACUUUCAGAGUGUGAAGAAGUUGAAAAGGACGUUGAUGAUGCUGAUAGGGGGGAUGACGAUUCUGAAUGUGAUGAUGCUGAUGAUGAUCCUGAUGGCGAUGAAGUGAAUGUUGAGGAAAAGAAUGUCAAGGCUUCGGUAAUUAGAGCACACGAUGGUGGCAUACCAACUGUACCUUGUGACAUAAAUGAUGAACUAAAUACUUUGGGCAACACAUCAAUGCCAUCAAGCCCUCACAGUAGAUCUCAAAGUAACUCGUCGGGUAUGUUAGAUAAAGCAACUGCAGCAAGUACUUCAAGUGAUCCACCUAUUGGAGCUUCAUCUGCUUAUCAUGAGGUAGCAACGGACUCUGCACAAGACACAGAGAUUGAUGAAAGUAACCAAGGGGAAUCCUGGGUUGAGGGGCUAGCUGAUGGUGACUACUGUGAUCUUAGUGUCGAGGAACGCCUCAAUGCAUUGGUUGCACUGGUUAAUGUUGCCACUGAAGGAAAUUCGAUGCGUGCAAUUCUUGAGGUAUUUAUCUUGCUUAAUAUCUCUGUCUUUUUUUUUCCCGUUGAACAGCAUCUGAACAAGUGACUUCGCAGGAACGGCUUGAGGCUGCAAAUGCUUUGAAAAAGCAAAUGUGGGCAGAGUCACAACUUGAUAAAAGGCGUUCAAGGGAAGACUUUGCAGGCAAAAUUGAACAUGACUCUUGCAUGGGUUUGAAGGCCAUUGCUGAUCAGGAAAAUAGUGUUGGUGAAUGCAAUCUUCCUCCGGUACAGAACCUCAUUAAAGAGAAUGAUGGAAAGGCCAGCUCAGUAAACAAUGAUUUGCUUGUCGGCCAGCAUAGUCAGCUUAAUGCUGGUAAUAUGGUUCAUGAGGUGAAUGGUGUAAGCCGGGAAUCUAAUCCAGAGAGCCUGUCCGUUCAGCAAUAUGCUUCGUCUGACAAAACACGAUCACAGUUGAAGUCAUUCAUAGGUCACAAAGCAGAACAACUUUAUGUCUACAGAUCACUACCGCUGGGACAAGAUCGAAGACUGAAUCGGUAUUGGCAGUUUUCUACUUCUGCAUCACCUAAUGACCCUGGGUCUGGAAGAAUAUUUUUUGAAUCUAGAGAUGGAUACUGGAGGCUCAUUGACUCAGCUGAGGUGAUUAUUUUAUUCUUAACUCAUAAAUGCAAUCAUGCUACCUAAUAUUCUCAAAGCUUACACAUGAUUCAAUUCAGCUGGUGCAUUUGUCCUUUUAGUGUGUUAUUCAUUCUCCCUAUGUAAUUUAAUUUUGUGGGAGUGUGUUGAGUAGGAAAUGGUGUUCAAAAGGAGAAAGUUAUUUCUUACCUCAAAGUAAGAUGGAUUAUGUCCAUAUCACUGGAGGGGGUGGGGUGUGGGAACGCAUAAGUGAUAAGAGUAAAAUGGAAUUAUUCAAUGGAUCUUGUUGAAACUUGAAAAGUAGGCAAUUUCCGGUCGAUGACUUAAAGUCUUAAACCAUCCAUACUUAGUUGAAUUGCUUAGAGAGUACUCCCUCUGUUUCAUAAUUCUUGUCUCAAAUUUGCCCAAAAAUGGAUGUAUUUAUUCCUAAAAAGUGUCUAGAUACAUGUAAUAUUUCGACAAGAAUUAUGGAACAGAGGGAGUAGUUCUCAACUUCUGAUUCUUCCAUUCUAAUUUUAGCUCUUGAUAUCUUAAAAUGCAUCACUUCUGAAGAUUGUUUUGCAUGUUUGGGAAUAUCAUGUUGUUGAACACAACCUUGGGUUAGUGGCCAGCAGGGAGCAAUGGUCCAGUUACGAAAAAUCGCUGUAGUUGGCGUAUUACUUGUUGUUACAUUGAGUUUAGCUGGGGCCAGAUAGAAAUGGGAAUUUGUAACUUUCAAAGCUAUUGUUCUUUGUGUUUGGGCCAGUAAGCAGCUCUGAACUGCCAACGACAACGAUCUAUGAUUUUCUUUAUGUAAUAGAGUAAUUAGCAUUAUAGAUCUUCUUCAUCAGAUAUAGCAUGUGUCAGCAAGUACCACUUUGUUCUAGAGAUUGUGUCUUCUUUUAUUAUGUUUCGCUUAGAACCAACUGCAUUAUCUGGUUUGCAAGGUAUCUGCAGACUCUUCUUUUUAACAUGACUCACUAAAAUGCAGGCAUUUGAUGCUUUAGUAGCUUCUCUUGAUACUCGUGGCAUCCGGGAAUCACAUCUGCAUUCAAUGUUACAAAGCAUUGAGUCAGCCUUUAAGGAUGCUAUAGGGAGGAGGAAGUGUGCUACUGUAGAACACCCAGCCGGAAGUAUUUUGAGAAAUGGAAGUAGUGAAAUCAUAAGCCCAAAUCAUAGUAAUGAAUUUGGAAGCCCAUGCAGCACCCUUUCAGGUGUUGUGUCUGAUAACACUAAGGUAUAUUCGGAUUCUUUCAAGAUAGAGCUUGGGUGCGAUGAUCUGGAGAAGGUUGCUAUUUUGAAAAGGGCUAGCAUGUUUCUGAAGUGGAUGUGGAGGGAGUGCAACAAUCACCAAUCCACAUGCGCCAUGAAAUAUGGAAAGAAACGGUGCUCUGAGUUGAUACAACAGUGUGAUUCUUGCUACCAGAUUUACUCAACUGAAGAAAUGCACUGUUCUUCUUGCCACAAGACAUUCAAAUCCGUUCACAGUCUCUCGGAACACGCAUCACAAUGUGACGAAAAAUGGAGAACAGAUCCUGAUUGGAAGAUGCAAAUUUCAGAUGAUUCUAUUCCCAUAAGACUGAGAUUGCUGAAGCUUCUGUUAGCUUCCAUUGAGGUCGAGUAACAUGUUUGGUCACUGGCAUUAAGUUCCUAUUUUGUUUAUUGUAAGUAGUUCUGCUCUGUAAUUUUGUUUGUGUAUUUCAGGUCUCAAUUCCAGCCGAAGCUCUCCAACCAUUUUGGACGGAUGGAUAUAGAAAAUCAUGGGGUCUAAAGUUGUAUUCUACAUCAUCUACCAAAGAAGUUUUCCAGGUUGCACAUCCUUUCCCUUUCUAUAUACUCAAUACACCUAGUAGUUUUUAUUUGUUUGGUAGACAUCUACGGCCAUCAGUUUUACUGUAUUACUAAUUAGGAAAAGGACCAAUCUACAGCUGAACAUAAAGGCUUGGCUUUGUGACGUCACUUGGAUCCACCUUUUAACAAAGAACAUGUUUAGAAUUCAUGCAUAGAAAUUAUUUCACGAAAUGAACUGUACAUGGGGUUCUUUUGUUCUCGUGAUGUAUAGUCUAGACAGGAGAGAUGUGAAUGGUGUUAACUGUAAUAUCGAGUCAGACCAAUACUACUUUCAACCACGAUGGAUCACUGCUGAGUUGCUUCAGUUUGCUAGCCCAAGUGUUCUAGCAGUCCCCACUAGCAGACUUUUGAUAGACCUGAGUAAUUUAAUUAGAACUUGUACGGGUGUUUAUUUAUGCCUACCUGAAAUAUGCUGCGUCAUGGCUCUGCAGAUGUUAACUGUGCUGGAAGGUGCAAUAAGAAGGAAUUACUUGUCAUCUAACUUCAAAACAACAGCUGAGUUGCUAAAUUCCAUGGCACAAGAUAAUUCUAAUCAGAACUCUGUUGCACGUUCUGGAUCUGCUGAUGUACUUCCAUGGGUGCCCAACACUACUGCUGCAGUUACUUUACGAUUGUUAGACCUGGAUUCUGCCCUCUCAUGUACACUUGAUCAAAAGGCAGGAUUAAAUAAGGAGCAAGAGUGGGGAGACUUCCCCCCCGGUGAUUCCUCAAAAAAAAAAAAGGAGCAAGAAGCUGGGGAUUUCAUGGUGAGUCUCUUAGCUUAUAGUUACUGCAUCACCUCUUCGUGGUAUUUGCAUGUCUUGCUGGUAAUAGGUGUCUUCUUCCAUCUCUUGGAUAAAUUAUAUUAAGUAUUGAUACUAUAUGAUGAUUUAUUUGGAUAUUUUACAUUUCUUUAUUCAUCACACCUCAAUUUUUGCAUGCAACAGAAGUUUCCACCAAGAUGUACUGCUGUAAAGAACAAACAAGAAAUGGAAUCAGUGGGAGCUACUGGUUUUGUUCAACGUGAUGAAGCAUGGCUGACUCCCAGCACUGGCCAUAGAGGCCGUGGACGGGGAGGUCGAGGGCGUGGCAGGGGAGGUAGAUCCCGUAGUCGUGGUGGCAGGGUCCCAAGAGGUAUUGGCAGCUCUCCCAAGAGUGAGUUAAGGGAUGACAACAAUGUGUCGUUGAAAGUCCCAUACAAGCAAGCUCCCCGAGGUAGAGGUCGUGGCCGCAGCCGUGGCCGUGGCCGUGGCCGCGGUUGCGGUCGCGGACUUCGAACUGUUAGGCCUAGGCAGCCAACUGAGCAUGGAUCCAGAUCAGUUCCAAAGGCAAACUUAUUGGGGUCCUUUGGCAUGCUAGGAAAUGCAAAGCCUACAACCGUGCCUUCUCCACAAAGUUCUGGCGCAGAAGAGUGGGGCUUGGAGAGACGAGCAUACAUUGAGGAUGAUGAAAACAAUUCAGUAUCUCAAUCGGAUGAAUCAGAAGAAGAGAAUGGUGAGCCCAUGAAUGAGGACUAUAAUGAGCAGCUUCCUGAUUAUUCAAAGGACAAUUCUGGGUCCAGCCCCCUUCAGAUGAUGGAUGAUGGGUCCGAAGAUGACGAAGAAGGUGAUGAAGAGGUUGAGGACGACGGGGUUGACUAUGAUGCUGAACACCCUAUUGAUGAAGACAACAAUGAUGCUGAGAUGAGUGGCAAUGAUGGACUCGGCAAUGAUGAGGAUGACGACGACGACGACGAUGCUGGUGGGGGUCAGGACGGAAUGGGGAACACUGAUGACAAUGAAGAUGGAACAUCCUAUUCUUCAGAGUUCAGUGAAUAAGAGAUGUCAGGAAGAACCGGUUCGAGGCCAUGAGUAAUUUCUAUUAUCUACAAAUUCGUCUCAAGUCAAGAGGCCAAAUGCUGAGCGAAGGAACUAUUGAAGAGGUAGCCGGGUGAUGGAAGUGGUUACAUUUGAUUGUGGGGCAACAAAUUAGCUUGCUUCCCGUUGAAUUAGAAGAUCAGCUUUGUAUAUACAUAUGCUACUUUUGCAGCUUAGGCCUGCCCUUUGUAGAUAUGGUGAGAUGUGUUUCAUCUGGGGCUCUGGGCCAGUAGAAAUGUUUUGAUGGUACCGAUUCUUCUGAACUUUCUUCAACAGUUGGGCUCACCCUUGCAGUCGAUCUUACCUUCCUAUCCAUCCUGUGACUUAGCAGGUGGUUUGACAAGAGAUAGAUGAGUUAUUUUAGACGCCUUCCGAACUGACAUCAACUCAGUGCACCAUAUAUAUCAAGGAAAAGAUAAACGCAGGCAAUUAACUCGACGUAGAAACUAGAAACGCACGUAAAAUAAUCAUCCACUGCAUGUGCUCCGGGAAAUCAUCGCAAUCUAAUUGGCGGUGAGAGGCCCACCAUAUCAGCAGCCCAUAUUAAACUCCCAAAAAUCUGAUGCGCGUCCAGGCUCAUUAUCGUCAGCCCAUGCUAAACUCCCACGGCCCAUCGCACGAGAGAGUUCCGUGACGGCCGAGAUAGCCCGCGCACACUCGCGCAGCUUCUGGAACCUUCUACAGUCGUCUUCUCUUUCCAAUUCCACAACUCCCAUCCCUCUCCAGACGCUUCUCCCCUCCCCCUUUUCUCUCCCUCCUCCCGCCGCCCCGUGCCCCCAAACAACACAACAAACGCGAGCACGAGCACAAUCGAUCGAAAGCGGCAGAGCUCGAACAAGGAAAGAAGGCAGGGGAGGAGAAAGAAACAACCAUGGGGAUGGACUACUACAAGAUCCUGGGAGUGGAGAAGGCGGCCGGCGACGACGACCUCAAGAAGGCCUACCGCAAGCUGGCCAUGAAGUGGCACCCGGACAAGAACCCCAACAACAAGAAGGAGGCCGAGAACAAGUUCAAGCAGAUCUCCGAGGCCUACGAGGUACGUGACCAAACAGCCAAUUUUGACUAAUCAAUCACCCCAGACGAGAGAUCAGAUUAAUUCGAUUCAUCUCGUCUCGUUGUCCGCAAUGUCGCCUGACGCGUUUCUCGACCGGUGUUUGUGAUUGGAGCAGGUGCUGAGCGACCCGCAGAAGCGCGCGGUGUACGACCAGUACGGCGAGGAAGGGCUCAAGGGGCAGGUGCCGCCGCCGGGCGCGGGCGGGGCCGGGCCCGGAGGCGCCACGUUCUUCUCCACCGGCGGCGACGGGCCGACCACCUUCCGGUUCAACCCGCGCAACGCCGAGGACAUCUUCGCCGAGUUCUUCGGCUCGUCCAGCCCGUUCGGCGGCAUGGGAGGAGGGCAUCCCGGCAUGCGGACGGGCGGCAUGAGGUUCUCGUCGUCCAUGUUCGGGGGCGACGAUGUCUUCAGCUCGGCGUUCGGCGGCGGCGCUGACGGGCACCCGGGGAUGAUGGGGAUGCACGCCGGCGGCGGGAGGGCGAUGAAGACGGCGCCGAUCGAGAGGAAGCUUCCGUGCACGCUGGAGGAGCUCUACAAGGGGACUACCAAGAAGAUGAAGAUCUCCAGGGAGAUUGCUGACGCCAGUGGGUGAGUAGUAUCUCCUUCCCUCUCUGCUUCACGUCUCUGUCGUACUGGUCAUUUGGUAUUGCUGAUUAAGAAGACUCCAGGCGCCCGUAGAUCCUGCUUGCAUAUUGUAGAUCGUCUCUAGUUGCUACGGAGUAUAAAUUUAAACCUGAAUGUGCAAUUAUCUUCUUGGGUUGUUUUAGUACGAAAAGGAAAUUAGUGCUCAGAAGGAUACUUUUCCAGAGAUUGCCGUAGUUCGUUGAAAUUAAACCUGAAUGUGCAAUUUACCACUUAUCUCUGUCUGAUUUGUUUAGUACUAGAAUUUUGUAGUGUCAGGAGGAUACAUGCAUCAUGCAUCGGUUGCAGCCAAACAAACAGAAAAACAAAUUAGCAGGUGGCCCCUAAAAUAUGUUUGGUUCACUGCCACAAUGGAUAGACUAGCAGAGCUACAUGUUUAGCAGUCAAAUGAUCUUUUUUUUGGUUUCAUCUAGCAACCCAGCCAUGUGCGAUUUGUUUGGACUGUUCUUGGGAUUGUCCAUCUCUAAAUUUAUCAUUCUCAAACAUUCUGAAUUUAGUGUUGGAUGCAUGAUGUGUUAAAAAGAAGAACAAUGAUUUUAUUUUGUGUGCUAAACAAAAUACUAAAUGCCACUCAUGGUGACCGUGCAGGAAA